rnacentral:rRNA from 1 species
UACGUAGGGGGCUAGCGUUGUCCGGAUUUAUUGGGCGUAAAGAGCGUGUAGGCGGCCAGGUAGGUCUGCUGUGAAAACUCGAGGCUCAACCUCGAGACGUCGGCGGAAACCAUCUGGCUAGAGUCCGGAAGAGGAGAGUGGAAUUCCUGGUGUAGCGGUGAAAUGCGCAGAUAUCAGGAGGAACACCAAUUGCGAAGGCAGCUCGCUGGGACGUUACUGACGCUGAGACGCGAAAGCGUGGGGAGCGAACAGG